AACUUAAAGGAAUUGACGGGGGCCCGCACAAGCAGCGGAGCAUGUGGUUUAAUUCGACGCAACGCGAAGAACCUUACCUGGGCUUGACAUGUCCGUGUAAACCCUGGAAACAGGGUCCCUCUUCGGAGCGCGGUCACAGGUGGUGCAUGGCUGUCGUCAGCUCGUGCCGUGAGGUGUUGGGUUAAGUCCCGCAACGAGCGCAACCCUCGUACUUAGUUGCCACCAUUAAGUUGGGCACUCUAGGUAGACUGCCGGCGUUAAGCCGGAGGAAGGUGGGGACGACGUCAAGUCAUCAUGGCCCUUAUGUCCAGGGCCACACACGUGCUACAAUGGGCGGCACAAAGGGUCGCGAACCCGCGAGGGGGAGCCAAUCCCAAAAAGCCGUUCUCAGUUCGGAUUGGAGUCUGCAACUCGACUCCAUGAAGUUGGAAUCGCUAGUAAUCGCGGAUCAGCACGCCGCGGUGAAUACGUUCCCGGGCCUU
rnacentral:rRNA from 1 species